UACGUAGGGUGCGAGCGUUGUCCGGAAUUAUUGGGCGUAAAGAGCUCGUAGGCGGUGUGUCGCGUCGGUCGUGAAAACUUGGGGCUUAACCCUGAGCUUGCGGUCGAUACGGGCAUCACUGGAGUUCGGCAGGGGAGACUGGAAUUCCUGGUGUAGCGGUGAAAUGCGCAGAUAUCAUGAGGAACACCGGUGGCGAAGGCGGGUCUCUGGGCCGAUACUGACGCUGAGGAGCGAAAGCGUGGGGAGCGAACAGG
rnacentral:rRNA from 1 species